rnacentral:lncRNA from 1 species
CAUUCUUCCUCCAUUAUCUCACUGCCUCCGGUGGCUGCUGGGAUACCGGAGGACUCGGGUCCCGGCUCGACUCAGUCCUCCAGCCGCCCGGGGAAUACCUCUAGUUCUUCCCGGCCGCCGCCGCCUCCGCCCCGCCGCUUCCUCCUCCGCCUGCCGGCCUCCUUCGCCCCGCCCCGUCCGCGCAGCUCGUCCGGCCCGCCCGCAGGCCAGCUUCUCUCGGGAGCCUCCACCCAGGCGCAUGGCUCCAUGAAGCAAGAGGAGGAGGCAGAGCGCGAGAGAUCCCGUCCGCCCCAGCCGCGUCUGGGCCAGGAGAAAAGCAAAACCAUAUUCCUGCUGCUGUCAGUUUUGAUGCACUGAGAAAACUUCAGAGACCUAAGCUUUUUCCAGAGAAGAGAAGCUUUACUGGUGUUCCAGCCCUAAGAAACCUUUGUUCAACAAAACUGCAGAUGCUCUGUUGAAUCCACUGGAGAUUGUCCUGAUACUAAGGACAAGUAUCAACCAUCUUUCCUGUGAAAAAUUCCCUCUCCUAGUACUUUAGUUCUGUGGAUCCAAAAUUUAUAGCAUUCUUCUACCACCACAGGGGCUCAUAUGACAUUAACAGACAAGACACUUUUCAGAAAGACAGGUUGUUCUUUUGGGCCACAUCUAAGAAAUCUUUGUCUAGCCAAAAGCCACAAAUAAUUUCUCAUUUUUUGGCUUCUGGAAGAUGUACAGUUAAAUGUUAUAUUUGGGACUGUUAUCUAAUUUGAUUAAAUUGCACUCUACAAUAUGAUAUUUGAAUUGAUGAAAAAUUAGUAAAUGUUAAUAUUUUUUAAAGUAGCCAAAUCUUGCAAUUUAUAUAUAAUAGAGAAGACUAGAAAAUCCCCCAUAUUUAUUUCCUCUUACUUCGUACUACUAAAAUUUGUAUUUAGGCAUUUGGUUUCUCAGAUAAACAUUACAUUCCCCAGUAUAUGGUUCUAUCUGGCUUGGUGACGACAUGUUGAACAUUAAGAUGUGAGCAGAAGUAAUACAUACACACUCUUUUUAAUGUCUUUAAUUGAAUGGGAUAUUGGCCCAUUUUUUCUUCCAGUUUAUUACACUGAAUAUUGACAUGUUAUUUUCCAAUAUUGAGACAAUCAAUGACAAGACUUUAAGAGUAACAAUGUAAAAAUUAUAGAAGUUGUCUGAGUUUAUCAACAAUCCCCUGGAUUAGAACCCCCUACCAGUUCUAGGUCAUCUAAUAUAUAGACAUUGUGUUCAGUAGAAAUAAAUAUAUAUAUUUUUUAAUAUACUUUAAG